ACCGGCGCACGGGUGCGUAACGCGUAUGCAAUCUACCUUUUACAGAGGGAUAGCCCAGAGAAAUUUGGAUUAAUACCUCAUAGUAUUAUUGAAUGGCAUCAUUUAAUAAUUAAAGUCACAACGGUAAAAGAUGAGCAUGCGUCCCAUUAGCUUGUUGGUAAGGUAACGGCUUACCAAGGCAACGAUGGGUAGGGGUCCUGAGAGGGAGAUCCCCCACACUGGUACUGAGACACGGACCAGACUCCUACGGGAGGCAGCAGUGAGGAAUAUUGGUCAAUGGGCGCAAGCCUGAACCAGCCAUGCCGCGUGCAGGAUGAAGCAUCUAUGGUGUGUAAACUGCUUUUGUACGAGAAGAAACACUCCUUCGUGAAGGAGCUUGACGGUAUCGUAAGAAUAAGGACCGGCUAACUCCGUGCCAGCAGCCGCGGUAAUACGGAGGGUCCAAGCGUUAUCCGGAAUCAUUGGGUUUAAAGGGUCCGUAGGCGGUUUUGUAAGUCAGUGGUGAAAGCCCAUCGCUCAACGGUGGAACGGCCAUUGAUACUGCAAGACUUGAAUUAUUAGGAAGUAACUAGAAUAUGUAGUGUAGCGGUGAAAUGCUUAGAGAUUACAUGGAAUACCAAUUGCGAAGGCAGGUUACUACUAAUAUAUUGACGCUGAUGGACGAAAGCGUGGGUAGCGAACAGGAUUAGAUACCCUGGUAGUCCACGCCGUANACGAUGGAUACUAGCUGUUCGGAGCAAUCUGAGUGGCUAAGCGAAAGUGAUAAGUAUCCCACCUGGGGAGUACGUUCGCAAGAAUGAAACUCAAGGAAUUGAC
rnacentral:rRNA from 1 species